GAUGAACGCUGGCGGCGUGCCUAAUACAUGCAAGUCGAGCGAACAGACGAGGAGCUUGCUCUUCUGACGUUAGUGGCGGACGGGUGAGUAACACGUGGGUAACCUACCUAUAAGAGUGGGAUAACUUCGGGAAACGGGAGCUAAUACCGGAUAAUAUAUUGAACCGCAUGGUACAAUAGUGAAAGAUGCAAUUGCUUCACCUCAUAGAGGGAUCCGCGCCGCAUUAGCUAGUUGGUAAGUUAACGGCUUACCAAGGGAAGGAUGAGUAGCCGACCUGAGAGGGUGAUCGGCCACACGGGACUUGGGACACGGCCCAGCCUCCUACGGGAGGCACCAGUGGGGAACCUUCGGCAAUGGGCGAAGUCCUGCCGGAGCAACCCCGCGUGGGUGAUGAAGUUUUUCGGAUCGUAAACCUCUGUUAUUAGGGAGGAACAAAUGUGUAAGUAACUAUGCACGUCUUGACGGUACCUAAUCAGAAAGCCACGGCUAACUACGUG
rnacentral:rRNA from 1 species